UAAUCUCACUACCAUCGACUUUGGUCUUUUUGGUAUGUGGACUUGGAUGCUGCCGUUGAUGUCGACGGCUCGUCUGAAAUGCCUGAGUGUACCCCGCUUUGCGGCGUAUUCGGUGUGAUACAUCUUCACCGGAGUUGAUCCUUGUGGUCGCGUCUGUAAUGGUGUGGCUCUAUGCUUCCAACCGUCUCUUUGGUUAGACAAUCUCUGACA
rnacentral:misc_RNA from 1 species